AAAUUGAAGAGUUUGAUCAUGGCUCAGAUUGAACGCUGGCGGCAGGCCUAACACAUGCAAGUCGAACGGUAACAGGAAGCAGCUUGCUGCUUCGCUGACGAGUGGCGGACGGGUGAGUAAUGUCUGGGAAACUGCCUGAUGGAGGGGGAUAACUACUGGAAACGGUGGCUAAUACCGCAUAACGUCGCAAGACCAAAGAGGGGGACCUUCGGGCCUCUUGCCAUCAGAUGUGCCCAGAUGGGAUUAGCUUGUUGGUGAGGUAACGGCUCACCAAGGCGACGAUCCCUAGCUGGUCUGAGA
rnacentral:rRNA from 4 species